rnacentral:rRNA from 1 species
UACGUAGGUGGCGAGCGUUGUCCGGAUUUACUGGGCGUAAAGCGCGCGCAGGCGGCAGUCUAAGUCCUCUGUGAAAUCACCCGGCUCAACUGGGUGGCUGCGGAGGAGACUGGGCAGCUUGAGGGGCCUAGAGGCCGGUGGAACUCCCGGUGUAGUGGUGAAAUGCGUAGAGAUCGGGAAGAACACCAGUGGCGAAGGCGGCCGGCUGGGGGCGCCCUGACGCUGAGGCGGCGAGAGCGUGGGGAGCAAACCGG